GCUCACAACCAUCUGUAGUGAAAUCUGGU
rnacentral:piRNA from 1 species